AUAUUGGUCAAUGGACGCGAGUCUGAACCAGCCAAGUAGCGUGAAGGAUGACUGCCCUAUGGGUUGUAAACUUCUUUUAUAUGGGAAUAAAGUUUGGUAUGUAUACCAUUUUGUAUGUACCAUAUGAAUAAGGAUCGGCUAACGCCGUGCCAGCAGCCGCGGUAAUACGGAGGAUCCGAGCGUUAUCCGGAUUUAUUGGGUUUAAAGGGAGCGUAGGUGGACAGUUAAGUCAGUUGUGAAAGUUUGCGGCUCAACCGUAAAAUUGCAGUUGAUACUGGCUGUCUUGAGUACAGUAGAGGUGGGCGGAAUUCGUGGUGUAGCGGUGAAAUGCUUAGAUAUCACGAAGAACUCCGAUUGUGAAGGCAGCUCACUGGACUGCAACUGACACUGAUGCUCGAAAGUGUGGGUAUCAAACAG
rnacentral:rRNA from 1 species